rfam:Ciona savignyi cont_14469, whole genome shotgun sequence.
GGGGGUGUAGUUCAGAUGGUAGAGCGCGCGCUUAGCAUGCGCGAGGUACCGGGAUCGAUACCCGGCACCUCCA